GGUUAAAGAAAGGACAUGGGCACUCAGAAGUUCUCUUUGGUGCGGGGCACAACUAUGGUGACUUGGGACUUUAUACUUGCCAUUGAUACAGGGUGUGUGCAUGGCUGGUUGUGCAUGUUCAAUUGGUGCUAAGGUUGGCAAAGUGGGUUCCACCCUCCUGUGCAACAGAAUGUCAUCAAGUCCUGUCACUUUCAGACAGACACUUUCAGACAUGCGACAGUGUGCUAGCUGCUCCGAUAUCUGAGCAUCUGGAAGAUUAUUUUUCCUAAAAGAGACCAGGUUAUCUGAAAUGCUGCCUGCUUCAAUGUAGACCUGAAAGAUGACUUGGCUUGCCUGGGGGAAAUCACACGCUAUCAUAGGGCAAUGACCACACAAAAGGCGUCUUCUGCUGUUGCCCCUGUUCUGUGGAGUGUCCUUACCUCU